rnacentral:rRNA from 1 species
GGGAUUGUGCCAGCCGCCGCGGUAAUUCCAGCUCCAAUAGCGUAUAUUAAAGUUGCUGCAGUUAAAACGUUCGUAGUUGAUAUUCGGCUUCGUCUUCUCAUCACCCGCAUUGGGAAUGAGGAGUAAGAGCCUAAGGAACUUUCGGAUUCCAUAUUACCUUGAAGAAAUCAGAGCGUUCAAAGCUGGCAUUCGCCUGAAUAUUACAGCACGGAAUGAUUGUAGAACCCUGUGUUCUACUUGAUGGUUCAAGAGCACUGGGUAUGGUUAAUAGAAGCAACUUCGGGGGCAUAUGUAUUCAACUGUCAGAGGUGAAAUUCUUGGAUUGGUUGAAGACAAACAACUGCGAAAGCAUUUGCCAAGGAUGUUUUCAUUAAUCAAGAACGAAAGUCAGGGGAUCGAAGACGAUCAGGCACCGUCGUAGUCUUGACCACAAACGAUGCCGACUAGAGAUGGGGAAAUAAAUUAUAGACAUUAGUCUUAUUAAUUUUUCUCUGCAUCUAAUGGGAAACCAUUAAGUUUUUGGGCUCUGGGGAGAGUACGUGCUCAAGCAUGAAAUUUAAAGGAAUUGACGGAAGGGCACCACCAGGAGUGGAGCCUGCGGCUUAAUUUGACUCAACACGGGGAAACUCACCAGGUUCGGACAUAGGAAUGAUUGACAGAUUGAUAGCUCUUUCUUGAUUCUAUGAGUGGUGGUGCAUGGCCGUCCUUAGUUGGUGGAUUGAUUUGUCUGGUUAAUUCCGAUAACGAACGAGACGUCAGCCUGCUAAAUAAACGUGAAAUGGAACUUCCUUUUCAUUUGUUUUCUUAGAGGGACUACGGGUUCUACAAGCCCGGGGAAGCUUGACGCAAUGACAGGUCUGUGAUGCUCUUAGAUAUCCUGGGCUGCACGUGCGCUACAAUGACAUAGACAGCGAGUCUAUCCGAAUGCGAAAGCAUAAGGAAAUCUCUGAAUCUGUGUCGUAAUGGGGAUUGAGCAUUGUAAUUGUUGCUCAUGAACGAGGAAUUCCUAGUAAGUAUAAGUCAUCAGCUUGUGCUGAUUGCGUCCCUGCCCUUUGUACACACCGCCCGUC